UACAAGUUCUACCUGUCGCAGAAGAAUGGAGCAGCUUUUUCCAAAGUCAGAGGAAGCCAGUCAGGCCAAGACAGCACUAGAUGGGUAUGUACAGUGUCACUGGUUCAUACAGCUCGUCCACAAGUCUCAGAACUCACUUUGAACUGCAAAUUCAGGGUCCAGUUCUUACCGUAUUCGCUGGGCGAUUUCUGCUUUGAAGGAUGAAGAGAUGCACUUUGUAACUUUGUUCAGUAAAAAGAGUAUCAAAACAUCGGUGUGAAGUAAAAUUGAGAAACAGUUACAGCUUCACAGCCCUUGCCAAUGCAGCGCUUAGAUGUGUUAUUAAUGUUUCAGGAGGCAGCACUUGUUCUUUCUGAGACAGAAAUGUUGAUCCAGGGUUUUGUGUCCUUUCAGGCUGGGUGUUGAACAGAUUGGCUGGUUUGCCAUGCAGCUUCUUUGUUGAUCUUAGAAGGUCCUGGGUCACACAAUCCUCCUUUGCCCACUCCAGGUGUUUAACCUGCUGGUCACUGUUCUGUUUUCUGCUUGUGCUGGGUUGUAAAGCUCUUCCCAAGUCGGAAAAUGUCAUAUUUCAUCAUUCACCAGCUGCUGCAUUCCAACCAUCAUGACCAGGGCUGAGAGGGCUGUUAGGUGCUUGAAAUGGGAUAUUUGUGUCUUGCUUCAGGCUUGCAAGAUUGAAUGCAACCAAAACACCCACCCUGUGGAAUCAUAAUGUCCCCUAUCAUAUUUGUAGUUAGUAUUUGUUUGGAAACAGUUUUACAGAAGACUUUUUGUUAACUGAUCUCCCAGUGGAAAAACGGCACAGAUGGUUAAGGAGAAAGAUGUGCUGGGGGCUGGCUGCCUUUCAGUUUGUCUGCAACAUGAUAAUGUUGCUAAUUAGCAGAACGGCCAUUUAAAGGCCUGGUUUCUGCUGAGCAAGAGGGAAGGUGCUGUGGUUAAGAGCUGUCCCUGGAAAAAAUCCAAACCAACUGCUCUGUGGAUGCUUGCUUGCGCCAGGAAUGCUUUCCUGUUCUUGGAGGUGGCACCUCUUGGAGCUGCCUACCAGAAGUGAGGUGUCACGGUCACAGGGGGCUUCCAGUCUGUGGGCAGAGCUCUCCUGAAGGUUCAGCUUGCUCUUCUGAGAUCUUUAGUGAUAAAGGAUGCUGCGUGACCCUGACAGGGACCUACUGCUCUCCAAGCUUUCCUCAAAGUCCUUGCAGUGGUGUGUUCAAAAUACUAAAUUUGAUCAUGUUUCUUGAUGAUGUAGCAUCAAGGCAAUGUCUUUCUACCCUUAUUUAUGUUUUUUUAAACUUAAAUUAGUUUCAGCUGAAAGCAUCUGUUUUUCUGGAGUAGUGAUGAGUUGAGAAGGAGGAUACUUUUGCACAGAUCUUUUUCCUGUUCAUCAUUCUGGUGUGCCAGUUUUAAUCACAGAAGUAAUAUGAGCGCAUCACUUAUCUUGCAGCUCCAUGUAGCUGAAAUCAUUGUGAGGGUGGCCUUCUGCCUGUACCACACAGGUAAUGCUGCUGCCCAAACUCUGUUGUUGACUCACAUCCUGUCCUCAUGUUUUCACAUCUUUCUGAAGCCAGAGCUUAAAAAUUGUAAAAUGAAAAUGUUACAGUUGAGUACAUUUAAGUAGCAGGAUAGUUGUGGCUGCUGGGAAUGUUUUCUCUGUGCCAUGGAUGUUAAAAUGUGCUUGAUCAAUGUGAUCCACUGAAUCAGGUUCAUAACAUCUUCCAUCAGGCACAGAACCUUCUUGCUGCAGCUUUUAACUCCUUGUGCAAUGUUGAGUGCCCUGGGUAGACCAGAAUCCAAAUUCUGCAAGUGUGGCACUUGCAUCCUACCUUCCCACUCAGUCUUACAACUGUUUGUGGAAGUGAAGUGUAACUCAGAGGAUGUAUUGGGAGAUGAUUUCCUUCUUUCAGCAGGCUGGGGUUUCUUUCUGUCAAGGAGUUUUAAUGCUAAAAUGGUGUUUCUGUCCACUGUCAAACAGCACGUGGUUAGGAAGUUCCUAGGAUUAAUAUCCAGUCACAAUAUUCCAGUGUAUUUGAUUGAUCCUUUGAUUCUGGGACUAGUUGAUAAAGACAUUGAACAGAUCAGAAGCUCUCCUGAUGGUCCCAGCCCAGAAUGCAAAUACUUCUGUGCUCCAAGAGACUUCACUACCUUUGCACUACUGGACAAAACAUGGAAACAUGAAGUGGAUCUUUUUAGAACUGCUGAGAAGAUGGGGUUCCAGUGGCUAAAGAUUAUAAACAAGGACCCCCGCUUGGAUGGGAUGGAUGACCUGUCUGGAAUGGAAAUUCCCUUGCACUACAUAUUCAAACUGGCAUCCCAUGCCAUUCACCUGGUGGUCUUCUAUGAGAGGAGUGGCAAUUUCCUCUGGCACGGGCCCCUGAGGCUCAAGCAACACAUGGACAGAAAGUUUGUGCCUUUUCGGAAACUCCACUUUGGUCGCUACCCUGGGGCAUAUGAAAAGACAGAACUUCUGCUUGUUUCCAUUGAUGCCUUAAAAGUUCAAAUUCCUAAAAAUCCGUCCAGUUUUCUAGAGGAGGUGUCCCACUCUAGAUUUCUUGAAUGUAGGUACAGAGAAGCUCGGGCUUUCUUUCAGCUGUAUUCUGAUGAUGCCUCCCUUGAUGCAGUGGAAUUCAGAAAAAAGGCAAAAUCCUUGCUUCAUCUGGCUGCCCUGACACUGAAUAACUUGGGAGUGAACUUCUGGCUGAGCAGUGGAACAUGUCUCGGCUGGUAUAGGCAGUGCAAUAUCAUUCCUCACAGCAAAGAUGUGGAUUUGGGAAUCUUUAUAAGGGACUACAAAGCAGAUAUCAUUCCAGCCUUUCAGAAAGCAGGGUUGCCACUGAAGCACAAAUUUGGCAAGGUGGAAGAUAGCUUGGAACUCUCUUUCCAGAGAGAAGAUGAUGUGAAACUUGAUAUUUUUUUCUUCUAUGAAGAGGAUGACCACAUAUGGAAUGGAGGAACUCAGGCCAAAUCGGGCAAGAAGUUUAAGUAUCUCUUCCCCAAGUUCACUCUGUGCUGGACUGAGUUUGUGGAACUCAAGGUCCAUGUGCCCUGUGAAACCCUGCAGUACGUGGAGGCCAACUAUGGCCCGGAGUGGAAGGUGCCUGUGAAAACGUGGGACUGGAAGAGCUCACCCUUCAACGUGCAGGACAAUGGAGUCUGGCCUAUUGAUGAGUGGGACAAUGUCAUCCAAAUCUACUGAGCCCUGGCUGCUGGCAGAGCCAAUCCCCAGAACUGUCAAUUUGUGAUCUCCAGUGCCCAAAGGCAUCGACAUCCACUCCCUUUGUAAUGCCCUGUGUGUUUCCUAAGGAAACAUUAACCUCACUUUGCUUAACAGGUAUUUUCUUCACCUUCAUUGUGCUUUUUCCAAGUGGUUAAAGGAGAUGAAAAGCAACUGGAGGGAAGGGAAAUUGAAAGAAAAGCUGCACAAAGGGAGUAGAGAGGACUGCAGUGGACUUAUGGGCAGUUGACUGUUUAAAUGUAAACAGUGGCCAGGUGGCUUUGACAUUCCUGGGAUCAUCAAAACUUUCAGACUGUUCAGUUCUCAAGCUCGAGGGAAGGUUAGGAUGGGAAAAUCUCAGAGAAGUUCCUCUUUUUUCAAAGGAGAUCAUGUGACUGUUUAAUUUCAAAACACCAGAGGUGGACUCAUACCUCAAGUCUGCUCGAUUUGAGGCUGGUGUAUCCCUCCCAUGAGCAAUGGGUCACUCUUGGGAGUGGAAUGUUUUUGUGGCACAGUACCUGUGUGACCUUUACAUCUAGGAGGUAUCUGGUAAUGGAUAGGUGAAACUAGGUGAAUGGAAGGAGAAGCUAUUCACAUUGGACAUUUUUCAAUUUGUCUUUUCUUUAAGAUUGUGAAUGUGCAUGCCUCUGGGAUGGCUUUUCCAUGAAAAGAAAGAAAAUUCUGGUUUUAAUGUCCCAGUCCUUGUGUUCUCCCUGUACAAGGUUUGACCAGUUUUUAAGAGAUUACAGCUAUCCCUGCAUUCCUGCAAGUAGAUAGAAAUGGGGGUUAUUCAUAGUUUUCUGUUUCACAGAACAGAGGCUUCUCUCUAAAGGAAAGGAAAAAUGUGUACAAAUACCAACAGUUCAUCAAAUUUGCAGCAGCAAUCCUGCCAGUCCUCUCAGUUUCAGUUUCUCCUGCCACUGAAACAGUGGAGUAAAUUGUUCAGCUUCUGGCAACAACUUGUCAGGCUGGGUCUUCAACUGAAUAUUAACUUUGUUUGCUCUGU